AUAAUAUUUUCUAAAGAAUAUACACAUAAUAAUAAUUUUACAAAAAAGGAAAAGAAAAGACAUGCAAAGUUCAUAACUGAGAUUGUAUUUGAUAGAAGAGCAAUGAGGCUGAAGCUCCUCCUCGAUAUUCCACCUCGUUAUGUGGGUGCUCAUGCCAAAGCUUGAUUCCAGAUGCCAGUUGAGUUGCAAUGGUUUGCAGCGCCGACAGGUUAUGGCGGAUACGACCCCACACUCACUCACAUACACUCACAUACGCUCACAUAAUGUUUAGAACGGGGAAUUUCGUUUGAAAAGAAUCCGACGCUCAGUUUCGAGCAUUGUAGAGCUUGGCAAUUCGCCAGAUGCAGUAUAACUGGAGAUUUGCUCAGCAGCGUUACAGAGCAGCCAAGACAGUGAAGGACAGGGCGGUGCGAAGGGGCGGCAGCGGAGCAAUCGGUUGAAGGAAGCGAAUCCUAACCCAUUCUGUGACGAUUCCACGCCUUGAUCUCGCCAUAACUGCUCGCUUUGUCAAGUUUCCAGCAACUGGGGUCUGGCUCUGUGACAUUCAAGCGUGCCAGAUGCUCCCACAUGGAAAACACCCUCUGAGCUCGCACCGAGAUUAACGGCGUCCAUGAGCAUCGCAAGUGGGGUUCGAUUUUCACGCAGUGGAGUUCUUGAGAUGGCUCAAAGUCCUUGAUCUAAACCGCAUACGUCUUUUGAAUCAUUCCUUUCCUCAUUGACAACAGUUUAUCAGGAACUGAAGGUGAAACUGAAGCUGAAAUUACUGGUGCUGCAUAAGGAAUAUUGCAACUUUUCAGUGCAAAUUGAAGACAUUGUUGGUGAGUUCAGAUUUCCAACUCGCUGACAAGCUGCAUUGAUUCAAUUUGCAUUUUGAGAACAUUUUCUCAUGUAACUCAACCAGAGUGUAAUGAAGAGGUUAAAGAUUGCAAGGGAUUUCGUAUGGAAAUACAGUGAAUUUAUACCCUUAUACCACUAAAAGGUAUGCAGCAUGAGAGACAUUUGGGCGAGUUGGGUUAGAGUUUCAUGAAUUUACUUAUUAGGCAGACCUAUUGACAAGUGAUAAGGAGUAAACUCAAGGCUCUGAAAUUCUGACAUAAAGCUGCAACUCUGUUUGUAACUGCGUUGGGAAGAUGAUUGGAUCCUAUCUCAUAGUAUCUGAUCACAUAAUCAGCGCAUAAUCACAAAAAUUGUCAGAUAAGCUAUAA